rnacentral:rRNA from 1 species
CACACCUGCUCCUCUUUGUGCAUUAGCUGGAUCUCAGUGUUAUGCUUGGUUCCACUCAGCGUGAUAAGUUAUCUAUCGCUGAGGACACCCUGUUAAAAAGGGGUGGCCAAGGUAAAUGCAGAUGAACUGCUUCUAACAGUCCAUUGACUUGGACAAAUAUUAAUUUUAUGAUCUGAUCUCAAAUCAGGUAGGACUACCCGCUGAACUUAAGCAUAUCAAUAAGC